GGAGAGAUGGCUCAGUGGUUAAGAGCACUGACUGCUCUUCCAGAGGUCCUGAGUUCAAUUCCCAGCAACCCCA
rfam:Rattus norvegicus chromosome 6, whole genome shotgun sequence.